rnacentral:rRNA from 1 species
AUCGAACGCUGGCGGCAGGCCUAACACAUGCAAGUCGAGCGAGCAGCGGACGGGUGAGUAAUGUUUGGGAAACUGCCUGAUGGAUGGGGAUCAGUACUGGAAACGGUAGCUAAUACCGUAUACCAUCAGAUGUGCCCAGAUGGGAAUGGCUAGUAGGUGGGGGAACGGCUCACAAUGGCGACGCACCCUAGCUGGCCUGAGCGGAUGACCAGCCACCCUGGACCUUAGACACGGACCAGACUCCUACGUGAGGCAGCAGUGGGGAAUAUUGCACAAUGGACGAAAGCCUGAUGGAGCCAUGCCGCGUGAGUGAAGAAGGCCUUCGGGUUGUAAAGCUCUUUCAGCGGGGAGGCGUUACCCGCCGAAGAAGCACCGGCUAACUCCGUGCCAGCAGCCGCGGUAAUAC